AAAGGAUGAAGUCCUUUUUGGAUGUAAACUUUUUUUAGCCGAGAACAAGUUCUGAGUGUAUNGGCUGAAUAAGCUACGACUAACCUCGUNCCAGCAGUCGCGGUAAUACGAGGGUAGCAAGCGUUAUCCGGNAAUUACUGGGCGUAAAGCGUUGUAUAAGUGUCUUGGUAAGUCAGCUAUUAAAUCCUUGUGCUCAACAUAAGGGCCGUAGCUGAUACUAUCUGGAUUGAGUAAGUUCGACGCAGAUGGAAUUCCUAGAGUAGGGGUUACAUCCAUUGAUACUAGGAAGAACACCAAAGGCGAAAGCAUUCUGCGAGGACUUUACUGACACUGCGUACACGAAAGCGUGGGGAGCGAACAGUAUUAGAUACACUGGUAGUCCACGCUGUAAACGAUGGAUGCUAGUAGUCUGAAGUUUUCGACCCUUCAAGCUACGAAGCUAACGCGUUAAGCAUCUCGCCUGGGAAGUACGGCCGCAAGGCUAAAACUCAAAGGAAUAGACGGGGACCCGCACAAGGGGUGGAGCAUGUGGUUCAAUUCGAAGCUAAGCGUGGAACCUUACCAGGGUUUAGACUUAUGAAGAACUCUUUAGAAAUAAGGAGGUGCCCUCUUUUAGCAGGGAGCUUCAUAAUCAGGUAUUGCAUGGCAGUCGUCAGCUCGUGUCGUGAGAUUUCCGGUUAAGUCCGAAAACGAGCGCAACCCCCAUCCUAAGUUACAAGUGUCUUAGGAAACUGCUUCCUUUAGGAAGAGGAAGGUGGGGACGACGUCUUGUCCGCAUGGUCCUUGAUGCCCUGGGCGACACACGUGCUACAAUGGCGUAUACAAAGGGUUGCUUAGGGGUAACCUGAAGCCAAUCCCUAAAAUACGCCUCAGUUCGGAUUGAAGUCUGCAACUUGACUUCAUGAAGAUGGAAUCGCUAGUAACCGUAGAUCAGCCACGCUACGGUGAAUACGUUCUCGGGUCUUGUACACACCGCCCGU
rnacentral:rRNA from 1 species